UCCUAAUAAACUUUAACAUGUUAUUAGCUAAAGUAUGCCUAGUUAGCAAUGUCAUGUUUUAUGGGAUAGAGUGAAACCCAUUUUGUUGGUUUCAUUCUGUCAUCGCCACUGACUGACUGGUGCUGAGCUAGCUAACGUUAAUCUUAAUAUCAGAUUUUUUUCACAAUUUAUGUGAUAGGUAGUUCACUUGCUUAAGCACUAUUUUAUCUUAAUAAUUUGCUGUCUUACUGCAUAUUGACAUGCAUAUUGGUAUUAUGUUAGCUAGCACAACAGCUAAGGUACUGUAGCUAGCAACAAUAUGAGUUGAUUUGACAUAAGAGCAAAACAUUUGUAGAUGGAUACACUUCCCAUACCCGUGGUGUCGGAAGAGGCUGUAUUGGCAGGUUGGGUUGUUGUUGAUGAUGGGUAAUUGAGGUUGGCCUAUGGAUAUUUGACCCAGCCAGUGGGUUAAUUCUCCCGCCACCAGCGCGUGAAAUCCACUAGGAUAUUUGCAAGUGUUCUAGUGCAACCGAGUGACUGACGAGGGGAAAACGGAUAACGUUAUUUCGACAUGCUAAGUGUGUUUUGGCCGACUGAAAACACUUUGUGAAGAUAUUCUGAAUGAGUGGAACCUGGCCUCAUUGAUUCCAAAAUUUGAGGGGCAGCAGCCUCUAAAGUGCAAGGUACUGGGUGGAAGCYGGCUAGUGAUGACUAUUUAAGUCUGAUGGCCUUGAGACAGAAGCUGUUUUUCAGUCUCACGAUUCUAGCUUUGAUGCA